rnacentral:misc_RNA from 1 species
GAGCGCUUCCGCAGAAUUUCGAGAGGGGGAGUCAAAUCUGGGAAAAGGUUUCCCAAAAUGGCCUUCGCCGCCGCCUUCCUCCCCAAAGUCUUCUCCCCCUCCACCGCCGCCAUCGAAAGCCGCUCCGCCGGCGCCAAUUCCCGCUCAGGUCCGCCGCCCUCCGCCGGCACCCAUGGCCCUCGCCUCCCCGGUACCGGCCUCCGCAGCGCCGGCUUCUCCUCCACCCUCAUCCUCCGCUUCCCCCCUAACUUCGUUCGCCAGCUCAGCACCAAGGCCCGCCGCAAUUGCAGCAACAUCGGCGUCGCACAGAUCGUCGCCGCCUCGUGGUCCAACGGCCCCGCCUCCCCCAACACCCCUCUUCCUCCCGCCGUCUCGGCGAUCACCGCCCCCGCGGCGGAGGAGGACGCCACCGCCGCCGGCGUCAGCGGCACCACCCCUGUAGAGCCACCGGUCACCGUCGAGUCUCUGCUGAGCUUCGAUGGGAGCAUCGCGGUCCAUGCCGGUGAGAGAUCGGGGCGUGGCAUAACCACGGAUGCGAUCACCACCCCUGUCGUCAACACUUCGGCGUACUGGUUCAAAAACUCUGAAGAGCUGGUCGAUUUCAAGGAGGGGAGGCAUGCGAGUUUUGAGUAUGGGCGUUACGGGAAUCCGACUACAAGGGUUCUGGAGGAGAAGAUGAGCGCACUGGAGAGAGCUGAAUCCACCCUGUUUGUUUCAUCUGGAAUGUAUGCGAGCGUUGCAAUGAUGAUGGCGCUGGUGCCUCCUGGUGGCCAUAUCAUUACGACCACAGAUUGCUACCGGAAGACUAGGAUAUUUAUUCAGAAUGAGCUUCCUAAGAUGGGGAUCACGGCCACUGUCAUUGAUCCUGCUGAUAUGGACUCCCUCCGAAGAGCAUUGGAUGAACACAAUGCGUACCUUUUCUUCACUGAAUCUCCAACCAAUCCAUUCCUCCGGUGUGUCGAUAUUGAGCUAGUUUCUCAGCUAUGUCACAAAAAAGGUGCAUUGGUUUGCAUUGACGGUACCUUUGCCUCACCCAUCAAUCAGAAGGCUUUAACUUUGGGGGCUGAUAUUGUUCUGCAUUCCGCAACCAAGUUCAUUGCUGGUCAUAAUGAUGUUCUUGGAGGUUGCCUUAGUGGUUCCGUAGAGUUGAUAUCCAAGAUCCGCCAGUACCAUCACGUCAUUGGUGGUGUCAUAAAUCCUAAUGCUGCGUAUAUGAUUAUCCGAGGUAUGAAGACACUUCAUCUUCGUGUACAACAUCAGAAUACUACUGCAUUGAGGAUGGCCCAGUUUUUGGAGGAUCAUCCCAAGAUUAUAAGAGUCUAUUACCCAGGCCUGCCAAGUCAUCCAGAACACCACAUUGCCAAAAGGCAAAUGACUGGUUUUGGUGGGGUGGUUAGUUUUGAGGUUGAUGGAGACUUGAGAGACACUAUGAAGUUUAUCAACUCGUUGAAGAUACCUUACCUUGCUCCGUCCUUUGGCGGCACUGAGAGCAUUGUGGACCAGCCUGCCAUUAUGUCUUACUGGGAUCUCCCUGCAUCAGAGAGGGCCAAGUAUGGGAUCAUGGACAACCUGGUGAGGUUCAGCUGUGGUGUGGAAGCCUUCGAUGAUUUAAAGGCUGAUAUUGUUCAGGCUCUUGAAAAGAUCUGACUCAUGUAGUUUAGUCAUAGAAU